rnacentral:rRNA from 1 species
UGGGGAAUAUUGGGCAAUGGGCGAAAGCCUGACCCAGCAACGCCGCGUGAUUGAAGAAGGCCUUCGGGUUGUAAAGAUCUGUCCUAUGGGACGAAGAAGUGACGGUACCAUAGGAGGAAGCCCCGGCUAACUACGUGCCAGCAGCCGCGGUAAUACGUAGGGGGCGAGCGUUGUCCGGAAUUACUGGGCGUAAAGGGUGCGCAGGCGGCGCUUUAAGUCAGAUGUGAAAUAUCCGGGCUUAACCCGGAGGUUGCAUUGGAAACUGGAGUGCUUGAGUGCAGGAGAGGAAAGUGGAAUUCCUAGUGUAGCGGUGAAAUGCGUAGAUAUUAGGAGGAACACCAGUGGCGAAGGCGACUUUCUGGACUGUAACUGACGCUGAGGCACGAAAGCGUGGGGAGCAAACA